rnacentral:rRNA from 1 species
AACGUAGGGGGCCAGCGUUGCUCGGAAUUACUGGGCGUAAAGCGCGCGUAGGCGGCUUUGUAAGUUAGAGGUGAAAGCCCGGGGCUCAACCCCGGAACUGCCUUUAAAACUGCAUCGCUUGAAUCCGGGAGAGGUGAGUGGAAUUCCGAGUGUAGAGGUGAAAUUCGUAGAUAUUCGGAAGAACACCAGUGGCGAAGGCGGCUCACUGGACCGGUAUUGACGCUGAUGUGCGAAAGCGUGGGGAGCAAACAGG